rnacentral:lncRNA from 1 species
CGUAGAAAACCAAAGAUUUCUUCACCCCAACCUUUUGAGUUCCACUGCAUAUGGGUUUAUCUGUCCCCGUGGCUUUCCAGUACCCUGAAGUUGCAGCCCUGUUUGGCCUCGCGCCAUUUGGGUACUUCCUAUCUCUUGGACUGAAAAAGUACCACUCUUCCUCCCCAAACGAUGCCUUAGCUGUAUACAGUCAGACCCAGAUAAAUAUCAAAAGUUUGGAUCAUCAAGUUUAAUAUAUUAAAAUCAAAAAUCUUAAUAGAAUACGAAAUCACAGUCCAAAAUCAUGAUAUUGUGAGCAAUAAAUAGGCGAUUUGCAAGGGUUAAAUUGGAGAGAAACCUGGUAAUUCCCAUGGAUCAAACUUGUAGAGAUCAACAUCAGCGAUGAUGGAAACAGGGAGAGGAAUAGAAUCAACUUUCUUCUUGAGGUAGUGAACCACGAGCUCUUCGUCUGUGGGGUGGAACCGAAACCCGGGUGGGAGGUUUGGUUGUUGUUGUUGUUGUUGUGAACUCGUUGAUGAGUCUUCGGUGCUGUCCAUGGUUAUUUACCGAGGUUGUUCAGCACUAUGUUGGGUUCCAAUGGUUGUCCUUGUUGUUGUUCUUGUGGGUUUGGCUUCACACA